AAAGCCGGGGCAACCCGGUGAGUACAGUGGCGUACGGGUGAGUAACACGUGGGUAAUCUACCCUUGAGUGGGGAAUAACGCUGGGAAACCGGCGCUAAUACCGCAUAAACCCGAGAGGGGAAAGCAGCAAUGCGCUGAAGGAGGAGCCCGCGGCCGAUUAGCUGGUUGGUAGGGUAACGGCCUACCAAGGCUGAGAUCGGUAGCCGGCCUGAGAGGGCACACGGCCACACUGGCACUGAAACACGGGCCAGACUCCUACGGGAGGCAGCAGUGGGGAAUCUUGCACAAUGGGGGCAACCCUGAUGCAGCGACGCCGCGUGAGCGAUGAAGCCCUUCGGGGUGUAAAGCUCUUUCGGCAGGGAAGAUGGUGACGGUACCUGCAGAAGCAGCUGCGGCUAACUACGUGCCAGCAGCCGCGGUAAUACGUAGGCAGCGAGCGUUGUUCGGAGUUACUGGGCGUAAAGGGUGUGUAGGCGGCCUAUUAAGUUUGGUGUGAAAUCUCCCGGCUCAACCGGGAGGGUGCGCCGAAAACUGGGAGGCUAGAGUGCGGGAUGGGAGAGUGGAAUUCCUGGUGUAGCGGUGAAAUGCGUAGAUAUCAGGAGGAACACCGGUGGUGCAGACGGCUCUCUGGACCGUAACUGACGCUGAGACACGAAAGCGUGGGUAGCAAACAGGAUUAGAUACCCUGGUAGUCCACGCCCUAAACGAUGCAUAUUUGGUGUGGGUCAUUCAGUUGAUCCGUGCCGGAGCUAACGCGUUAAAUAUGCCGCCUGGGGAGUACAGUCGCAAGGCUGAAACUCAAAGGAAUUGAC
rnacentral:rRNA from 1 species